GUUUAAAACUGAUUUAAUGAAAGUAAAAAAGGAUCAGUCUGUUGCACGCUGCUGAUUUAUAUUUUCUAUAUUUCAGCCUUCGUAACCAAAUUCUGUCUCGUUAGCCAUUAGAAGUUUAAUACAGGGUUAUGCAUUCAAUCACAAUCCAAGCAGCUUUCAAUACUUUGAAGGAGCACAAUGCUGCAUUCUGAAAGAUUAGCAAGGGCGUCCUUGGAUGGAUUCUUGCAUAUUAAAAUGUGAUCUUCAAACCCAAGUUUUUUCUUGUGGGGUGAGGGGAUGGGGAAUAAUUCAAACCAUCUCUCCUUUUUCUUCUUUCAUUGAACUUGGCUUGAUGUAAAACUAUACCAAACUUGGAACAAAAGGAAUAACGGUUUACAAAGAAUUAGCUAUGAAAUGAGUGGAUCUUGUGAAGACGAAACUUUCCAAAAUUAGCUGAGGUUGUUGGGUUUUUUUGUUUUUUUGUUAAUUCUAUAUUCUUUGUCUUUCAGCUGCUUGCAGAUUCUAGAAAGAAUGAGCUAAUUUUUCCCAUUUCUUCCUCUCAAUGUUUUCCGCAGCAUAAAUAAUACAUAGCAAUAGCAAUAUUGGUUUUAUUUGGAAAAAAAAGAAAAAAGAAAUGGAAUCUGCCUUGGAGACAGCCAGGCUGGAGGCAGCCACAGUGAAGAUGAGGGUGAUGCACCACAAUGAAGACUUCGUGUUACGUAGUGAGGACCACAAAGCGGCCACACCAUCCUCGUCCAGAUGUGCUGGAGGAACACCAGUAAGUAAAUGCACGUGGAUGCGUGACCUUUUAGACAAGCAAAAAUAAGCAAAUGUCCUUUGUGAAACGGGAGGCAUAACACAAACACAGCCCCGAGCUGCCCACAAUGUCUUUGCAGUGACUCAGCACCGAAACUGAGCCUUUCUGACCAGAUAGCUCAGUCUCCUGUGACUCAUCCCCAAAACAACAGUGAGGCUGCCAAGAUGCAAUGGGGCAUUGCGACAAAGGUUCCAGGCAGCAGUGAGGAGUAUGAGACCAAUCCAUCCUCUCUGUAGAGGGAAAGGCAGCAAUUUUAGGUCACCAAAACUAACGUGGGCUGCAUACACACUUGGAAAAGAGUGUGUCUUUAUUCCUGUGGGGCUGCUGCAAUGGUCAACCAGGGCUAAGUGCAGCUAGCUAGUAAUUUAGGGCACUAGGGCACCUGAUAAAGGUGACAGGGUAUGGAUUCAGAGCCCUGGAGGUUGACAGCAAUGUCCUCAAUCUUUUUAACUGCAUAAAUAAGUAAACAGACAAUACUUUCCUCCAGAACUGAAUGGGCAUUUUCAACACAUGGUCAAGGAACAGACCCCCUCUCAAGGUUACUUCCCAUCCACACGUUCAGGACUCCCAGGCAGCACAGGAUCCUGCUCCUCAUGUCUCUGCAGCUUCUCUUCCACCUCUGUUGCCAUAAGGCAGCUGUGAGCACUAAGUGAUGUUCUGCACCACUGGUCUAAGCAUGAGCAAUGUGGAUUUGCCUGUCCUUAGCAACCGGAGAUGUGGGGUCUGACUUCAGUCAAUUGAUUUUUGACGAGGAUCGCAGCCACUUUGCCUGGCUGGAAUUGGAUGCGCUGGGAGUCUCUUGGUCCAUGAAUGAACAAUUGGACUAACAGUAAGGACACAAAGGCAGCAGAUUUCAGGCUGUCGCGGGUAGCAGUAGCAGUCAAUCACCUGCAUGAAGGGUUUGUGUUACAGUAAAUCCUCCUGCGCUGUGGAGUGAAAGCAUCCUGCUCCCAGCCCCAGCAGUAACUUGUUUCUUGAUGAAACUCCGCUGGCCCCUGGUUUCCCAUGGGAAACCAUUGCACUCUAGCUCUGUAAUCUGUGAUCAAAAUGAAGGAACGCAACCUUGGCAAAGGGAGUGCUUUGGGAUGUAAACUCCCCCGGUGCCCACUUGCUGUUCUACACUCUUACUCUGAUGAAUGAGCAUUUAAAAAACUCAGGCUGUUUUUUUGCUGGUCAGUAGCAGCUCAAAGUCUCAUAGAACCAUAGGCUCAUAGAAUGGCUUAGACUGGAAGGGAUCUUAAAGAUCAUCUAGUUCCAACACCCGUGUCACAGACAGAGUUGCCAACCACUAGAUCAGGCUGCACAGAGGCCCAUCCAGCGAUGGGGCAUCCACAACUUCCCUGGGCAGCCUUUUCCAGUGCUUCACCACCUUUAUCACCAAAACUUUUUCCUUGCAUCUAAUCUAAACCUCCUCUCUUUUAUUUUGAAACCAUUUCCCAUUUUCCUAUCACAACAGACCCCGCUAAAGAGUCUGACCUUCUCUUGCUUAUAGGCCUUUUAGGUACUGAGAGACCACUCUCAGAGGCCUGUCUAGGCCUCUCCGGUGGCAUCCUGUCCCUCGCGCAUGUUGACCACAUCACACAGCUUGGUGUGAUCCACAAACUUGCUAUGAGUGUGCUCAAUCCCAUUGUUGAUGUCACUGAUGAAGAUAUUAAAGAGCAUUGGUCCCAGUAACGACCUCCAGGGAACUCCACUAAUCACUGAUCUCCACCCAGACAUUGAGCCAUUGACCACUACAUUCUGGGUACUAUCUCGCCACCAGUUCCUCGACCAUAGUAUGGUCCAUCCAUGACCAUUAUCCAAGACCUUGGUUCCAUUGCAAACCCACUAGCAGAGGAGCCCCUAGAACAAAGCACCACCACCGUGUCCCAUGCCAUAAGGGUGAUUCCUGUCCUAUGAUAUUUGUGCCAUGCUAUGAGGGGUGUCUGGACACAGCACACUCCAGAUGAUCACAGACAUGGAGAGAUUGGCUGCAUCUGUUCUGCUGUCCUGUGAUGGGGUUUUGGCCCCUUUUAACCCCAAAGCCCAGUGGGUGUAUCCAGCAUGAUCUCACAAACAACAAGCAGGACAGGACAGAUGGGCGCCCUCUCAUAGCCUCCACUAGCACUGUGGGUCGUCCAUCCUGGUGCAGGAGGAGCAAACAUAUUGCCUACCAUGGCAAAUAGCAGACAAAUAAACACAGGCACUUUUCAGGCUCUGAUGAGUAGGGCUCAUCCUCCCCAGAGAAUAAUCUCCCAGAAAUCGACACAUAACAUCGAAAGACAAAUGAGAAUGAAAAGGCCUCUCAAAUUUAAUAGCCUCCAUGAAUUACACUGCCUUUUGUCUACAUGAGCUGUCACUCUUUCCAUUAAAGAGUCACUGUAAUCAGUAAUCCAUUUUAAGAUUUAUAGACGUGGAGAUUUAUAGACUUACUGUUCUUAUCUGCUUUUUUAUUUUUUUUUCCCAUGCAUCUCCAUGGACUCCCAAAGGAUGAGAUUUUAUCCUAAACCCCCACUCUGCAUCUGGAGAGAUGAAAUGGUGCUGGGGUGGCAGGACUCCGAACUGGAGGCCAACAAAAGCAAUAAUGCUGAUAAGGACAGCAGGAAUGAUAAUACGGAGUUGAGGAAGAAAAAGAAAGAAAGGAUAAAAGAUGAGCAGGAGAAAAUUAGAGAAGUAGAAUCCAGGUUUCCAUUUAUUUUUCACAGAUUCUCACUGUAUAAGUUCCUUGAGUCCUUGAAAGAAAGGCAAUAAUUAGGUUAUUUUACCUAUUUGGUCAUUUUUAUCUUGAAACAAAAAUCCUGUAUCCUUGAAGCGAACAUAUUCAGAUCUAACUUUCACAUACAAGAAGGCCGCUUUACUCUGCUCACAGUAAAGAAUGUACUCAGGUGGGAGUAUGCUGACAUUACAAAGUCUCUUCAAACAGCCGAAGGAAUUUCAGUACAAAUGAGCCUCAAGCCACCUGCUUUGCAUAUUUUUAUCUGAUUCUAGUGCACGUGAAUGGUUUGCUCUGAUAGUAAUUGAAUAUCCAUAUGUGGAUUAAUACCUCCAGCACAGAAGAAUAUGGAUAUGUUUGUGCUGCUUGAAACUAGUCUGCACGUGCAACCUGAUUCUGGGUAACAUUGCAAAUACUUACGUAACUUAGAAAUCAGAGUGCUAUUCAAAAGCUUCUAACUCAUUCUGAGUCUGGUUUUGAGAAGUCUGUGUGAGAAACAGAUUUACUCACCCUCUAGAUAUUACACUGACAGCAGGUAGUAUUUGAGACAACUCUGACGUCAAAGUAGCAUUGUACGAAAUUCCUUAGGUAACCUCUAACACUUCUGCUCCUGCUACGUAUUGCUUGGUAUUUUUGUACCUGCUUGUCUAUAAGGAGAACGAGGACAAAGCCUUUUCUGAAUCUUGUUCCCGUGCUGAAGAAAGCUGCUAUAUUUGGUGAGCUACGGAAGAAAAUGCUUUGGUACAAAUGGGUAUGGCGUAGCACAAUGGAAAUCUGCAGGCAACUUUGUCCCUAUAUAUCCAAUAUAAGGCUCUCUUCCGAAAUGCAGAUUUUCUUAAGGAACAGAGAACUGUAGGGACUGACUGUGUAAUGCAUUCUAAUUAGCCAUUACCACAGGUUCACAUCAUAUUGGAAACUGUCUGUGCUGAUCCUUCACAACAGGCACGUGUGAUGGCUGUCAAAAUAAUUAUCGGCACAAACUUGUAUUUUACAGCUUGAGACAGAGAGAAACUUCAGUGGUAGAUUAAUUUUUCUGUGCUCUUGGGAAAAGCAGAAGAGCACUGAGACUCAUUUUAAACUGAUCGUACUCAAGCUGUUCGGUAGAUAGGGUUAUGACCCAUGAAUUCAAGGGCUGCCUUCCUGUGCUCUCCUGUAUUAUGCAGGAAGGAAAACACGAAUUCACAUCCCUUAGAGUCUCCUCCUUGAAUAAUUUCCUAAAUAAGUGCCCUGGGUUCCUUGCCUUUGAUAAUCCUUUGGCUGAAUGUCAUUAAUGUGUUUGUAUUUUUCUCCCAACAGCAUUGCUCUCCUGCUAAACAGUUUCCGUAGCCUCGGAAUCUUAGAAUCAUAGAAUCAUUAAGGUUGGAAAAGACCUCUAACAUCCAACCACCCACCUACUACUAACACUGCCCACUGGGCCACGUCCCUCAGUGCCACAUCUACUCUUUCCUUAAACACCUCCCACCACCUCGCUGGGCAGCCUGUGCCAAUGCAUCACCGCUCUUUCUGAGAAUAAAUUCUUCCUAAUAUCCAAGUUACCACAUUUUGAGCAUCCAAGGGAUGUUUGUGAUGUUUUGUGGCCUAAGGACUAAUAGGAAAACAGCGUAGGGUUUGCACAUAGGUCCAAUGCCCCUGUUGUGUCAGAAGGAGGGCUGUAUGCAGCAGCUGAAUGGCUCUGCAGUAGAAUUGACAGGUCAGGGCCUGAAGCAAUGGCUGAGCACCAGCUAUGGCUAACCCAGGUUGUUCAGGUGCAAUCAAUGUACCUGAGUGAUUGAUAUGGGUGAAGCUUAGAUCCACCUCUCACUCAUUUAAGGACUAGAAGCCGAAGGAGCUGCAUCUGUUGGAGGCUGCACUCCUUUUGAGCUGUUGCUGGUCACUGGAAGGAGGUAAGUCAGUUCUUAUUUUAUUGUCCUGUUCUAUGGCGUUUGCAUCCUGGGGAAAGGCUCUGUUGUUGUCUUUCUUUGCCCCACAGGCUUCCACUCAGAUUUGCAGCAGGUGAGGUUGAUUCUUGGCAAAUGAUCUCUCUCCUUUCCUAUUUGUUGUAGAAUUGUUAGAGUUGGGAGGAACUCUGAGAGGUUAUCUAGUUCUCUUGCUUUGGAUGCUUGGAGUCAGUGAGCAGGCCCAGUCAUGUUGGAGGCCUGCAGGAGAGCAGUGACCAAGUAUUAAAUACAUCUGCAUCAAAGCAGAUCUCAGAAAAUGCCAUUUUACAGCCUGCUGGCUGUAGUCACCACGCUGACAGGGACCAGGGUGAUGCCAGGCAGUGGCAGAGCUCCCAGUUCAUCUUUUACACACACAUUUCCCCCCCCUGUUUAGGCAGUGAUCUGGAGAUCAGAGGAAGGAGUUGACAGUUUAAUAUUUAAACAACUUGCUCCAUGUUUAGACCGUCAUGUUAAUGAUCUAUGUGUCACCACGAUAAUCAAGUGGGGUGGAAGCUCACUUGCAAUUAGCAGUGCCUUCUGUCACAGCCGACACAACGCUAAUGGUGCUAUGGGUGCUAAUUUUAGCUAAAUGCUUUCUUUAAAACGCAAUUUGCAUUUGGUUUCCACCCAAGGAACCCACAAAUGCUCAUGUUCUCCAGGGCUCUGCCUGUAGGUCUCCCUCCUCAUAGCUCACAGGGGAUGACUGGGGUUAGGCCUAGCUGCAGAGCUUGGCCCUCUUCUGCUCUGUUGGCAUUCACAGCUCCUGGUUCCCUAUCCUUGAUGUCCAGAUAGAUGCACUCCUCUACCACAUUUAAGUUUUUGCACUCAAAUACCCUCCUCGUGCCUCUUUAUUCUCCUCGUUCAAUAAUCUGUGUUGUGCUGGUAUUAAUCCCAGCCAGAGGCCUGUUGUGCUGGAGGCUGAGUACAAAGCCAAGGCUGGGGCCCUAAAGAGUCUAAAACCUCACUCUAUUUUUGGGGCAAAUUAUGCGGAAACAAAGCAUUCCCAGCAUUGUUCGACAAGAUGGGGAAUUUCUUGAAAAACUUGUAUUACAGUGAAAAAUGGAGCUGGACUCUUAAAUAAAAGCAGGAACGAUAACCUUGCUGCUAACAGCAGUGUUUACCAAGAGCAACUUGGAUCAUUUGACAAUAGUGGAGAGCAUUUGACUGAUUGCCUUGCUGUGUACCAAAGCCCAGCUCUGUUGUGGUGGAGACCUGAGGAGCGAUAUCCACAGCAACGUGCUGCUGUGCCUCUGGAACAUCUUUAUUAAUGGCAUACAGCAGAGCCCCUGCUGCUCCUGGCUCUUACCUCCAGAUUUAUGGCUCACUUCCACGGCCUUUCCCACUACUCUUAAUAUAUUACAACAGCACUGUUCAUACAUGAGCUUUUCCUGUUAGGGAGACAGCAGCACGUUGGUAGAAUUGCAGCAGAUGAAGUCCCAGGGGAAGGCAUGGGUGGCAGGCACAGUUUAUCUGUAAUCAAUUUUUCCAGCUGUAUCCAGAAUGAAAAAGUUACACACAUUUUAAUAUCAUCUGAUAACAAUCACUUCAUGAAUCUACAGUAUUUAAUAGCAAGUGAUCCUUUCCAGCAUAUAUAUAUAUAUAUAUUUUUAGCCACUGUGAUGGAAUUUCUUUAUUAGUAAGUUUUCAUUACAUUUGAUAAGGUGAUAACAAAAGGCUACAGGAAAGUAUUAUGUUUUAUUGUAGUCUAUAGCACUCUUCCAUAAAGGUUAAUAUGGACUCGCCAUUCCUAUUAAUUAAAUGGCAAUACUUCUGCUGUGAAUAGCCAAACCUUACAGUUCUGCCCUUUCAAGAACAAUCCUUCAUUUUAUAUUUAUACUCCACUUUUCUUCUACGGUUUUCCUUACACUUGCAGAAAUUUAGCUGUCUCGUUUUUCCUCUCCAAGUAUGCCUAGGUACGUUACAGUAAAAUACAAAGUAAAAUCGACUGAUCGGGACAAUUCUAAAGCUGUCAACAUAUUUUGUUCCCUAACUAUACAUCCAAAUCAUCUCCAAGGUAUUGUAGUCGUCUCUUGGAGUUGAUAAGCCAUUUAAUGUAUUAUUCUGGUGACAGAGAAGAUGGCGUUUGCUACAAGUGUUUUUAUGAUUCAGUAGUUUUCAUAGGGACUAGAAAACUAAGCAGCAGAUUUACACUAUAACAAAAUAAAAGCUGAGAUCUCAUCUGCCUGAUGAAUGACUAAAGCAGCUUUCAUCCACAGAUUUUCAGCUGGUUUGCCUGAAGGUGGAGAACUUAUUGUUCAGGAUGUUAUAGCAGUACCUUGAGGCUAUAAUCAAAUGGCACGUGUUGAAGACUGAAUGCAUGCAGGGGGUAGAAAUACUGCUAAUUGUGGGGCAGUUUCCAUCUGAGCCAGAUGUGUUAAGUGCAAUAAAUCUGAAAGAAAAAGGAGGCACAAGGUAAAGAGAAGUUAUAUAUGCUUGAACACGGACUGAUGCACCAGAAACGCUGCUCUGCUCAGCCAGUUGGCUGCUUGCUCAGGGUGUCACAGCAGAGGCCUUUCUCAUUUUCAAAAGGAAGUAAACACAAGGACAAAGGCAGUGUAGAAGUGCCAUUACAUACAAAAGAUCUGGCAUCAACAGACAGUGAGUCAGUGGUUGAAAUGAGAGGAGGCCUCCGGCCUCUUGACUUCCCUUCUCCACAUCUGACCUGGGAUUGCUGCAGCUGUCUUCCAGCAAAGGUCAGCUCCAGAGGCCAAUUUCAGUAGCAAAUGCUUAAAGCAUAUUUGACGUGGGAGGGCGAGCAAGUCAGGCUUCGCCCGUGCUUUUGAAAAGGAGGGAAGUGUUUAUGGUACCUUCCAGCAAGGGUUAACCAGGCUGUUUGGAGCCCACAAAUGUCAGCUCGUCAAAUGGCUGUGAGGACGUGUAGCGCUAUCAGAUCUGAUCCUGUGGAGUACUUAAAAUGUCUUCUGAGGGCAGUGGAAAUCCUGGACAAUCCCAGUGACUGCAUUUCUAUGCACGGGCAUUUGGGUGCUUUCCAUAUGACUUUUAAGCCAUGUGCAGUGCCAGCUCCCAAAGAUUUGCCCUAUAUUUGAACUUUACUCGCAGCCUCCCCCUUGCUUAGCUGCAAACAUGAUUGUAACAAAUCCAUUUCAACCCCUUAGUUAAUUUGUUUCUGAAGCCUUUCUCUUUCGGAGUGUGUAAUUAAACUAAAAGAACCUGGAAAAGCCCCUUACAGUAAAUAAUUCACAAGUUCCUCCCUGGGGACGUUUUUUAAUUGUGACUCCUCUGGUCAGAUCUUACUGAAUGCUCUGAGAUAGCAUUCCCUGCUGAGAUCCUGAAAUAUAAUUAACUUCUUCCUUUGCUCACGGUACUUUUCCUUAAACUAUCCAUAUCUUAGGCAGGGCAGGCAGAUUUGUUUAUAAACAAAAGUAGAGCCUGAUAGACAUCUUGCCAUGAGAAUAGCAAUAAUGACAUUCGCUGCAACAGACAGGGGCACAUCCAUUUGGGGGAAGAUGAUACUGUUUGGAAGCAAUUUUUAUAAAUCCUACCCUGACAAUCCAGCCCUGUUACAAGAGAGCAAGCAGGCAGCACAGACUCCUCUCCUUCUUGGCAGCCUGCCUUGCUCCCCAAGUGCCAUUUUAUGCAUAGCAAACGUAAAUAAUUCUGACGCACCUACCAACCCCCUAACCUUUGUGCUUCAGAAACACUGCUAUAUACCAUCAAACUGACAGUGAUUUCAUGUUAUGUGGCAAAAAGAAAAACCCAGAGCGACAGCAGCAAGCUUCGGGUGCCAAAUGAAAGCUGUCACAUUUAUUUAGCUCUAUGAUUCUCAGGACGAUGUACAUAAAUAUUGUUUUACUGUCCCCACCAGCCAAAUGUUAAGGGCUAUCUGCAUCAGCCAGGGUCCUGUGGCCAAUGAGGCUGUGAUGAUCUCCCUCUGAUCCAGGAGUGGCUGGAAAGAAAUACUGUGCCGGCAUCUCUUGCUCCCAAUGGCACAGUGUAUUAAAUAGUUCCCUAUUUAUUUCUCAUUGCAUUUUAAUAAAACACAGUUUAAAAAAAAAAAAAAAAAUUCAGCUUCAGAACCAAUCAUCACAGCUUAUGGAAUCACAGAACCAUAGAAGCAUAUGAGUUGGAAGGGACCCUUCAAGGCCAUCUGGUCCGACUCCCCUGCACUGAACAGGGGCACUACAGCUGAUCAGGUGCUCAGAGCCCCGUCCAGCCUGACCUGCAAUGUCAACCUGCAGGGAUGGGGCACCCACCACCUCCCUGGGCAACUUGUGCCAAUGCCUCACCACCCCAAUUGUAAAAUCUUCUUUCUUAUAUCUAGUCUAAAUCUCCCCUCUAUUAGUUUGAAACCAUUUGGUCCUCCUCAGCUUGAAUGUAACAGCAAGAGGUCAUUAGCAUCUGGUUAUGUUCUGUAAUGCUGACGUGGUCUCCUGAUUUGUGCCAGAAGUGGUGUAGUAGUCAUGCAGUCAUGCUUAGUGUCAUACUACCAAAACCAUGGAACCAUGUCUUAGGUUCCCGGCUAAGCCUCUAGGGUUAGACCUUGAGGGAGGGCACUAGUAAAAGCACACUGAUUUUAGUGGGCUAAAAGGAUGUAGCUGCUUGAAUAGGGCUGGACUUAAUACAUGCAUUUAAAACACUUAUCGCAAUUGGGAUCCAGGUUUCUGCUGUGAAGAAUGCUGGCAUCAGCAUAGCUUUCUUGAUGUCCAGGGCAGGUAGUGCCAUAUGGCACGGGGCUCAUCCUAAUGUGAUCAGUGAACUCUAACAGCCCUGCAGACAGACCUGUUAUGCGCGAAGCCUGCCCCAUCUUCUCUCUGUUGCUCUCGUAUGACAAGAGAAGUUCAGAAAUGAAGAAGGGAUUAGGCACUGCCAAGACAGAAGCUGUGGAAAAAAAAAAAAAACACAACAAAACCAGUUCAAUUCUCUCAGUGCAUUUAUUCCCCAGAGGUCCUGAGCUGUAGGAGUCUGCCUGCCUCCUUGAAGUCAGUGCAGCUGACAGCACUGCAGAGCUGAGAGAAGCUGAA
ensembl:lncRNA